rnacentral:rRNA from 1 species
CCUACGGGUGGCAGCAGUAGGGAAUCUUGCGCAAUGGGCGAAAGCCUGACGCAGCAACGCCGCGUGAAUGAGACGCUCUUUGGGGUGUAAAGGUCUGUUAGUGGGGACGAAAAAUGACGGUACCCACAGAGGAAGCACCGGCGAACUCCGUGCCAGCAGCAGCGGUAAUACGGAGGGUGCAAGCGUUGUCCGGAAUCAUUGUGCGUAAAGAGUUCGUAGGCGGCAUGUAAAAUCAGGUGUUAAAGGCGCAGGCUCAACCUGUGUAUGGCACUUGAUACUUGCCAUCUGGAAUGCGGUAGAGGUAAGGGGAAUUCCUGGUGUAGCGGUGAAAUGCUUAGAUAUCAGGAGGAACAUCGGUGGCGUAGGCGCUUUACUGGGCCGUAAUUGACGCUGAGGAACGAAAGCGAGGGUAGCAAAUAGGAUUAGAUACCCCGGUAGUC